rnacentral:rRNA from 1 species
GUGAUGACGUUGGCAACGCGAGCGGCGGAUGGGUGAGUCCACGUGGGGAACCUGCCCCAUAGUCUGGGAUACCACUUGGAAACAGGUGCUAAUACCGGAUAAGAAAGCAGAUCGCAUGAUCAGCUUAUAAAAGGCGGCGUAAGCUGUCGCUAUGGGAUGGCCCCGCGGUGCAUUAGCUAGUUGGUAGGGUAACGGCCUACCAAGGCAAUGAUGCAUACCCGAGUUGAGAGACUGAUCGGCCACAUUGGGACUGAGACACGGCCCAAACUCCUACGGGAGGCAGCAGUAGGGAAUCUUCCACAAUGGACGAAAGUCUGAUGGAGCAACGCCGCGUGAGUGAAGAAGGUUUUCGGAUCGUAAAGCUCUGUUGUUGGUGAAGAAGGAUAGAGGUAGUAACUGGCCUUUAUUUGACGGUAAUCAACCAGAAAGUCACGGCUAACUACGUGCCAGCAGCCGCGGUAAUACGUAGGUGGCAAGCGUUGUCCGGAUUUAUUGGGCGUAAAGCGAGCGCAGGCGGAAGAAUAAGUCUGAUGUGAAAGCCCUCGGCUUAACCGAGGAACUGCAUCGGAAACUGUUUUUCUUGAGUGCAGAAGAGGAGAGUGGAACUCCAUGUGUAGCGGUGGAAUGCGUAGAUAUAUGGAAGAACACCAGUGGCGAAGGCGGCUCUCUGGUCUGCAACUGACGCUGAGGCUGGAAAGCAUGGGUAGCGAACAGGAUUAGAUACCCUGGUAGUCCAUCCGUAAACGAUGAGUGCUAAGUGUUGGGAGGUUUCCGCCUCUC